GAUUCUACGCCGCCCGGUCGCCAGGGAGAGUGAAUACAGCUAGGGACGUGAAAGAACGGGGAAGAUAACCGAAGGGUGGUUUGAGAAACCCACCAGGCCAACUGGGAAUUAGAAUUGAUUCAAAACUCCAUUGAUCGCCUGACCUCCAUAAGCUCCUACUCUGCUGCAGUUGAGUGCUGCCACUUAAAUCCUGCAGUCCCGAGAUCCGGUUAUAACCAAUGCAUUUAGAUUUUUCAUUUCGGUGGCAACAAUCUUCAUUGUAAGUUCUGUCCUACAGAGAAGUGUGGUGAUCAAGCUCUUUGGAGAUACUGGGACUCCUCUCACAAAUAUGCUUCUUAGAGACAAGGCCUCACUCCAUUGCCCCUAGGCCAGGCCUGGUGAGUGACAGCAGCCCUGGUGCCCCAGCCUGCUAGGGCAAUGUGUCACCCAGAGGCUUCAAGGCCCUUCUCACCAUGGUACCCACCUCCUCGAAGCUGCCUCCCAAAGCCCUCUAGCUGCUGCUGCAGCCACAACAAGUGCCACCACCAGGGGCCUUCCAGCUGCCAGUGCAGGCUUUCCAGAGCCGGGGACUGGGGAACCUGCAGUCAUCACCUCAGCAAUUCUGGUGGCAGCCAGGCCAGCCAGGGCAGCGAUGAUGACCGUAAUGAAAAGUGGGAUGACAGCUCCACACUGGUGGAUGAGUUGAGAACACCAGGCAGAGGCAUGUACCUGGUCUUUGAUGGUUCAGUGGAC
rnacentral:lncRNA from 1 species